ensembl:ncRNA E01G6.10 ncRNA
AACAAAAAGUUCUCAAUUUCACCUUUUGAGCAUCUUACAUGAAAAUGAAGGUCAAACUUUUUUUUGUUGCUCCCGAAUGUUUGCUGAGCAAACUGCCGUUGCUUCAUCGCUUUGUCUAAUUCUACCAUAAACACAAGUCAACUGUUCAUGCCGAGAUGUGUUUUUUCGCGUCGCAAAAAAGACAACUUUAUCGUA